rnacentral:rRNA from 1 species
AGAGUUUGAUCCUGGCUCAGGGUUAACGCUGGCGGUGCGCAUAACACAUGCAAGUCGAGCGAGGGCUUAUUUCCCGCAAGGGAGAUGAGUUCCUAGCGGCGAACGGGUGAGUAACACGUGGGUAACCUUUCCUAUCGCGGGGGAUAACACCGGGAAACCGAUGCUAAUACCGCAUGUCGUCACCGGCUCAUUGGUUGGUGAAGAAAGCAGCAAUGCACGAUGGGGUGGGCCCGCGGCCUAUCAGCUAGUCGGUGGGGUAACGGCCUACCGAGGCGAUGACGGGUAGCUGGUCUGAGAGGACGGCCAGCCACACGGGGACUGAGACACGGCCCCGACCCCUACGGGAGGCAGCAGUGAGGAAUCUUCCGCAAUGGGCGAAAGCCUGACGGAGCGACACCGCGUGUGGGAUGAAGUCUUUCGGGAUGUAAACCACUGUCGGAGGGGAAGACAUCGACGGUACCCUCCAAGAAAGCCCCGGCUAACUACGUGCCAGCAGCCGCGGUAAUACGUAGGGGGCAAGCGUUAUCCAGAUUUACUGGGCGUAAAGCGCGUGUAGGCGGCUGGUUAAGUGUGAUGUGAAAUCUUCCGGCUCAACCGGAAAAACUGCAUUGCAAACUGGCCUGGCUCGAGUGCAGGA